AUUCUCUAGGAGUCCAGUCUCAAACAAAUCAGCUCUCAGCUCAUAUCAGAUUGAAUAAAACGAUACAAACCCGAAGCAGUGCCUAGACAUUUAGCUGCCUAUCUGAAACUCAGCUGAACUGCUGGUUCUCUCUGGUAGCCGGAUGAAGCCUCUAGGAAGAAAACUGGCUGAUUUCAAUGGUGUUUUCUAAGAAGCAAUCACUCCAUGUCUGACUGCCAUGCAUUUUGAUAAUAAAACAAGAAUGAAAAAAUUAACAUUGUUAUAUUAAGAAAAAGUAAAGCAAUAUACCUACUCAUGGUAGAAUUUCCUACACAGCUUUUUGACAGCUUUUUUUCCCUGCAGCAAUCAAGUGCAUUGAUUUCUAUCUCUCUAUAAUGCACAAUAUACAUACCAUAUAUUCUGGCAAUUCAGCUAGAGGUGUUUUCCUAAUUACAAAACCUCAUUUGAUUCUUACCCCAUUCAUGGAGGUCAUAAGAAGGCAUGCAGUCUACAAUGCUGUAUUUGCCCUGCAACAAUGGCAGUUUCAUCCUUGAUGUUACAAUGGAGAAGUCUGCUGUGAAAUUUUAUAUGCUUAGGGCUAGAUCUGCAGUUAUACUACCUUAUUGUUUAUAUUAUUGCUCACAAGAUAGAAUAAAGAGAAUUAUUCUCAGCAGAAAUGUUUGAAUGGAUAUGUUUUCAGCUCCUGAACAGAUGAAUACAUCAGCAGAGAUUACUGCUGAGGUCAUUUCACUGAUAUCAAUCCAUUCUUGUCAGAGGGCAAAGCAUCAUGACAAAAUGAAGUACCAACAUAACCAAUGGGAUUUGUUUUGAUGGGUACAUGGUUAUUUAAUAACAAGUGAUGUGUUGCAGCAAGUGUAAAUGAAUCACAGAAAAAAAGACUUAAGUUUUUGCUCUUGAAUAUUGGACAAGAUUGAAUACCAUUAUUUCUAAAUCUUUUUUUUAAGCAUUUAAUUGAAUCUGCUACGGUUUCUAUUCUUUCUAACUCUGUGCUUUUAAUUUAAAGAGAACAUCUGAAUUCCUCAUUUAGGUGAUAUGACUUACCCUCAGUUCUUUGCAUUUUUAUUAUCUUCUAAAAGUAUACUGAUUAAAAUGUGCCCAACCUGA